rnacentral:tRNA from 1 species
UAGGCGGUGGGUUGUAAUUCCAUUUAUGGGGUAAGAGUCCCUCUUUUACAU